CAGUAGCCGCGGGAAUACGGAGGGUGCAAGCGUUAAUCGGAAUUACUGGGCGUAAAGCGCACGCAGGCGGUCUGUCAAGUCAGAUGUGAAAUCCCCGGGCUUAACCUGGGAACUGCAUUUGAAACUGGCAGGCUAGAGUCUUGUAGAGGGGGGUAGAAUUCCAGGUGUAGCGGUGAAAUGCGUAGAGAUCUGGAGGAAUACCGGUGGCGAAGGCGGCCCCCUGGACAAAGACUGACGCUCAGGUGCGAAAGCGUGGGGAGCAAACAGGAUUAGAUACCCGAGUAGUCCCUGUCUCUUAUAC
rnacentral:rRNA from 1 species